CCCUGGAUGUCUCCUCUCUGGGACACAACCUGGACAUGCUGAAAGAUCAAGUAGAAUCUGGCCACACUCCUGACGCCCCUCGCCCCGGCUCCGAGCUCCUUUCUCCGGGCGCCACCACCACCAUGGCACGCCCAGGCUCCAACGCCAAACCCAUCCUGCCACCUAUCCUGUCGGGACGCAAAACCCCCGGACCCAGCCCUAAGCCCCAAACCCUGAGACAGGAGAGAGAGGGAGAUGAGGAGUGAAUAGGUACAGGAGAGAGGCAGAGGAGGAGUGAAGAGGUACAGGAGAGAGGAAGAGGUACAGGAGAGAGGCAGAGG